rnacentral:rRNA from 1 species
AUUGAACGCUGGCGGCAGGCUUAACACCUGCAAGUCGAGCGAGCGGCGGACGGGUGAGUAAUGUCUGGGAAACUGCCUGAUGGAGGGGGAUAACUCCUGGAAACGGUAGCUAAUACCGCAUACCAUCAGAUGUGCCCAGAUGGGAUUAGCUAGUAGGUGGGGUAAUGGCUCACCUAGGCGACGAUCCCUAGCUGGUCUGAGAGGAUGACCAGCCACACUGGAACUGAGACACGGGCCAGACUCCUACGAGAGGCAGCAGUGGGUAAGAUUGCACAGUGGGCGCAGGACAGAGGCAGGCAUGCCGCGUGUGUGAAGAAGGCCUUCGGGUUGUAAAGCACGUACUGCGAGGCGGCGUUGCCCGCAGGAGAAGCACCGGCUAGCUCCGUGCCAGCAGCCGCGGUAAUUC